UACGUAGGGUGCGAGCGUUAAUCGGAAUUACUGGGCGUAAAGUGUGCGCAGGCGGUUUCGCAAGUCAAGUGUGGAAGCCCCGGGCUUAACCUGGGAACUGCGCUUGAAACUACGGAACUCGAGUAUGGCAGAGGAAGGUGGAAUUCCACGUGUAGCGGUGAAAUGCGUAGAGAUGUGGAGGAACACCGAUGGCGAAGGCAGCCUUCUGGGCCAAUACUGACGCUCAUGCACGAAAGCGUGGGGAGCAAACAGG
rnacentral:rRNA from 1 species